AGGGCUCAUAUCAAGUUUAAAUUUGAAAGAUCUCUCACCGUGGAAAAUACCCGAUUUCAAGUUAAGAGACGGUAAGAGAAAAAGGAAGAGGAGAAUGAAGAUCAAGACAGAAUCUGAGAUACCAAAGCCAAACCCCUUUGGUGAAAAGAGUGUGGCGGCACCUUCAUGUUCUGACCUUUCUUUGGUGUAUUUUUCUUCUUCUUUUGGUUUUGAUAUUAAUAGAAGUUGGGAUCUGAUUUUCCCAUAGAAUUGGGUACUUCCCACUAAAGACUUCUCUCAUUAUAAUCA
rnacentral:lncRNA from 1 species